rnacentral:lncRNA from 1 species
ACAGACAAAGUGCUAUUGAAGGUUACAGAAGAAUAAAGAAGUUCUGAAUAGAACAGAAGCUUUCAUAAGCCAGGGGUUAUAAUGACCAACAGAGACUCCACAAAACCAUUUACUCACAAGAGGAAAUAUGGCAUGGAUUGGAUUAGAAGUGGAAAGACUAAUGCAUUUUUUGUCCAUAGGGAUUAGAAGAAAAAUGGUUCUCUCAGCUCUGCAAAAAGUUCACAGAAAGUUGAGCCAUUCUCCAAGCAAUUGUGUUCGACAGGACAACUUAGGAAUCAAAUUAGAAAGGCUGCACCUUGCCAUAACCAUGCGUCAUCUGGUGCUGCCUUUUCUGGACAGCACACACCCACACAAAAUGCUGGAGACUCUCAUACUGGCAGUUUAGUUCUUCAAACUCACAACAGUAGAAAGUGUAUGCUGCAAAAUCUGAAGAAUUGAUAUUCUUUUACCAUAAGUGAGAAAUCUCAGCUUCUGAGUGAUUCUGUAAAUUCAUCAUGUUCACAUAGUAAUAAAUUGUCUGAAAGAAUUUGUACCCACUUCAGAGUGGCUCCAGUGUCAGUAAUUUUCCCAUUAUGUAACUUUGUUGCCCAAGAAGAAUGAGAAAUGAAACCUAUCCUUCAAUUCACUACUGAGAAAAUUGAAGACAAAAAUCACUAACUGAUACGUCCUGAGACUUAUGAUUAGAUAGUACAGGAGUCAGAAAGGAGAAUCUAGGUUAUCUGAAACCCUGUUCUGAGGAUAAAAUGGAAGGGGCUGUAUAAUGUGAUUAAUGGCACAGGACAUUAGAGGAAUAUCAGUGUUUA